rnacentral:tRNA from 1 species
GAUUUUAUAGUCAAUAAAUGAUAUUAGACUGCAAUUCUAAAGUAGUAAUCAUUACUAAGAUCU